GACGUAGGGCGCGAGCGUUGUCCGGAUUUAUUGGGCGUAAAGAGCUCGUAGGCGGCUUGUCGCGUCGUCCGUGAAAACCCACAGCUCAACUGUGGGCUUGCGGUCGAUACGGGCAGGCUAGAGUUCGGUAGGGGAGACUGGAAUUCCUGGUGUAGCGGUGAAAUGCGCAGAUAUCAGGAGGAACACCGGUGGCGAAGGCGGGUCUCUGGGCCGAUACUGACGCUGAGGAGCGAAAGCUAGGGGGAGCAAACAGG
rnacentral:rRNA from 1 species